rnacentral:rRNA from 1 species
UACAGAGGUGGCAAGCGUUGUUCGGAAUUACUGGGCGUAAAGGGCGAGUAGGUGGCCAUCUAAGUCAGACGUGAAAUCCCCCGGCUUAACCUGGGAACUGCGUCUGAUACUGGACGGCUUGAGUAUGGGAGAGGAACGUAGAAUUCCAGGUGUAGCGGUGAAAUGCGUAGAUAUCUGGAGGAACACCGGUGGCGAAGGCGGCAUCCUGGACUACUACUGACGCUGAGUGAGCGAAAGCCAGGGGAGCAAACGGG